rnacentral:rRNA from 1 species
GUAGAGUGUUGGGUUAAGUCCCGUAACGAGCGCAACCCUUGUCCUUAGUUACCAGCACGUUAUGGUGGGCACUCUAAGGAGACUGCCGGUGACAAACCGGAGGAAGGUGGGGAUGACGUCAAGUCAUCAUGGCCCUUACGGCCUGGGCUACACACGUGCUACAAUGGUCGGUACAAAGGGUUGCCAAGCCGCGAGGUGGAGCUAAUCCCAUAAAACCGAUCGUAGUCCGGAUCGCAGUCUGCAACUCGACUGCGUGAAGUCGGAAUCGCUAGUAAUCGUGAAUCAGAAUGUCACGGUGAAUACGUUCCCGGGCCUU